UUGGCAAAGGGAAGACUAGGAGAACUGGAGAAUGUUUAAGAAAGGAUGCAAAACCUCAACAGUAAGAAGAGAUAACUAAUGAGGUUGGCAGUAUAUAUAUUGACAACCAAAGUAUUGCUCAGUUCUGUCAGAUGGUGGUGCCGGGGAUUGAGCCUGGGACCUCUUGAGGUCUCGGUCAUGAAAAUCUUUAGCCCUAUCAAUGGUGCUAGCUGUCUCCCAGAUCCUGUCCAGAACGAGUGGAAAAGGACCUAUUGGGGAGGUCAGCAUAUCCAGAUAUAACUUGGACAUCUUAUACUCAUGUGAACCCUGAAAACGCAUGGAAGAACAAGAGCAAGAACAGAGCAUUGCUCCAUGAUAUGCAGUGCUGAUGAUCAAACUGGGGAUCUUACAAACACGUGGCAUUUAUUCUACCUCCCUAACCCACAUAAUGUUCAAUCAAGAUUUAGCUAGUAGCUCAAACCCUAGACCUGUAAUAUCC